UCCCAACCCAGGGAUGGAACCCAGGUCUCCUGCAUUACAAGCAGACUCUUUACCAUCUAAGCCACCAGAGAAGCCUUUGCUGGCUAAGAGGAAGUAUAUAGUCAUAUAUCUCCCACAUAUUUCUUAAUCUUCCAUAGAAUAAAACAUAUGUAAUCAUAGAUGGGGCUUCCCAGGCGGCUCAGUGGUAAAGAACCUGCCUGCUAAUGCAGGAGAUGCAGCCUUGAUCCCCAGGUCAGCAAGAUUCCCUGGAGAAGGAAAUAGGAACCCAUUCCUGUAUUCUUGCCUGGGAAACCCAUGGACAGAGGAGCCUGGCGGGCUACAAUCUGCGGGGUUGCAAAGAGUCGGACGCAUCUGAGCGACUAUAACAACAGCAGCAAUCACAGAGAGCUCCAGGGCUGCUCAGCACACAGGAGGGCGAGGCCUCACAGCUUGUCAGAAGACCCAGCUGUGCAGAGGCCGGGCGAAAGGAGAAAGUGGGCUCCAAUGACGCCUGUUAGAGCUUUAAUCCUCAGCUGUGACACAUGGAGGGAGCUAUGAACAGGAAACUCAGAGCUGGGCCGCCAGCCAGAAACAUUCAGAAAACGUGCCAAGCCCUUUCGAAAUACCACACUCUCCACUGAACACUCACUGCUAACAGUUCACAGGCUGUCUCUCUUCUCAAGUGACGGAGCCAUAGACCCGGGCCAUCCAGUCUGUCAGAGUUCCCGUCAUCAGAGUCUGAACCAGUCAAAGCCAGGCCUGGAUCUCCCACCUCCUCCCUCUUCUCCUCCAGAUCCUCCUCCUAACGACAUCCACAGAUGUGAGCUCCCAGCAAUACCGAAGGACCCUUCCUUCAAGCUUGUGUAUGUUUCAGAUGGAGGAUCUCUUCCUAAUGCACCCACUGCCUCUGCCACAUGCCCUGGGGACCCUGCAGGGAUCUCUUGAAGCAUCCAGGAGGGGAGGAGACCCACUGGUCAUCCCUGGACUCAGGGGGAUUAGGGGAGAUGGGGUCCCAGCCCGAGCCUCUGGCUCCCACUUGGAGCCGCUUGAUCCCAUCCAUGAGAGAGGGGGCUGCCGAACCCCUCCUCUGACUAUCUCUCAGGGGCUCCCCUGCACCCCACACCUGGAUUCAUGUUCUCAACACAACCCAGGUCCCACCUAUCAGAGCCCUACUCAUAGUCUGAAACACAAGGGCCAAACUGGCCAAAGCUUAUAUUCUGGUACCCAAGGCCCACCCCCAGCAGGCUCUGCACACCUCUCCACCUUGUCCCCACUGCCCUUCAAAAGAAUUCUCUGUGCCCACUCAGAUGGGCCACCACUGACUCCAGAAGACAAUGUUCAGGGACUUCCCUGGUGGUCCAAUGGUUAAAUACUUUGCCUCCCAAUGCAGGAGUGUGGGUUUGAUCCCUGGUUAGGGAACUAAGACCCCACAUGCCUUGCGGCCAAAAAACCAACACAUAAACAACAGAAGCAAUAU
ensembl:lncRNA